rnacentral:rRNA from 1 species
GACGAACGCUGGCGGCGUGCUUAACACAUGCAAGUCGUACGAGUGGCGAACGGGUGAGUAAGACGUGAGUAACCGGCCCUCUUUCUGGGAUAAGGCUUGGAAACGGGGUCUAAUACCAGAUAGAGGGGGAUGGGCUGGCGGCCUAUCAGCUUGUUGGUGGGGUGAUGGCCUACCAAGGCGGUGACGGGUAGCCGGCCUGACAGUGGGACCGGCCAGAUUGGGGCUGGGAUACUGCACAGACUCCUACGGGAGGGAGCAGUGGGGGAUAUUGCACAAUGGGCGAAAGCCUGAUGCGGCGACGGCGCGUGGGGGAUGAAGGCUUUCGGGUUGUAAACCUCUUUCGCUAUCGAAGGGUAGGUGGAGAGGAAGCGCGGGCGAACUACGUGCCAGCAGCCGCGGUAAUUC